rnacentral:tRNA from 1 species
GUCGCGGUGGCUGAGUGGUAAAGCGCUUGGCUUCCGAACCGAGAAGGUCCUGGUUUCGAAUCCUGGUGAAGACU